GCAUGUUUCAUGUACUCUGUAUUUUACUGACUGUGUGUUUGUAUUCUGCCAGAUCCUGAACAGCUGUCUUACAGUUAUUGAGAAGAGAGUAGAUGGCGUGUUUGCUGCCAACAGCCAUGUUAUAGCUGCCUGGUUUCCACCAUCUUCCACCAUCAAUCCGAUGCAACACCUGCCGGAAAAUGCAGCAAACCUCCAACGGCUUCUCCUUCCAGUGUGGGAACCUGGAACCUGGACACUCUGU